GUUGUUGCAGUUAAAAAGCUCGUAGUUGAAUUUCGGGGUUAGUAGGUUGGCCAUGCCUCUGGUAUGUACUGGUCUCACUGAUUCCUCCUUCCUUAUGAAUCGUAACGCCAUUAAUUUGGUGUUGCGGGGAAUUUGGACUGUUACUUUGAAAAAAUUAGAGUGUUUAAAGCAAGCUAACGCUUGAAUACAUUAGCAUGAAAUAAUGAAAUAGGACGUUCGAUCUUAUUAUGUUGGUUUCUAGGAUUGACGUAAUGAUUAACAGGGAUAGUUGGGGGCAUUAGUAUUCAAUUGUCAGAGGUGAAAUUCUUGGAUUUAUUGAAGACUAACUACUGCGAAAGCAUUUGCCAAGGAUGUUUUCAUUAAUCAAGAACGAAAGUUAGGGGAUCGAAGACGAUCAGAUACCGUCGUAGUCUUAACCAUAAACUAUGCCGACUAGGGAUCGGAUGAUGUUAAUUUUUUAAUGACUCAUUCGGCGCCUUACGGGAAAC
rnacentral:rRNA from 1 species